rnacentral:rRNA from 1 species
GAUGAACGCUGGCGGCGUGCUUAACACAUGCAAGUCGAACGAAGCACUUCAUAAAGCUUGCUUUAGGAAGUGACUUAGUGGCGGACGGGUGAGUAACGCGUGGGUAACCUGCCUUACACAGGGGGAUAACAGUUAGAAAUGACUGCUAAUACCGCAUAAAACAGCAGAGUCGCAUGACUCAACUGUCAAAGAUUUAUCGGUGUAAGAUGGACCCGCGUCUGAUUAGCUAGUUGGUGGGGUAACGGCCUACCAAGGCGACGAUCAGUAGCCGGCCUGAGAGGGUGAACGGCCACAUUGGGACUGAGACACGGCCCAAACUCCUACGGGAGGCAGCAGUGGGGAAUAUUGGACAAUGGGCGAAAGCCUGAUCCAGCGACGCCGCGUGAGCGAUGAAGUAUUUCGGUAUGUAAAGCUCUAUCAGCAGGGAAGAAAACGACGGUAC